rnacentral:rRNA from 1 species
UACGUAGGGUGCAAGCGUUGUCCGGAAUUAUUGGGCGUAAAGAGCUCGUAGGCGGUUCGUCGCGUCGGCUGUGAAAACCUGAGGCUCAACCUCAGGCCUGCAGUCGAUACGGGCGGACUUGAGUACUGCAGGGGAGACUGGAAUUCCUGGUGUAGCGGUGAAAUGCGCAGAUAUCAGGAGGAACACCGGUGGCGAAGGCGGGUCUCUGGGCCGUAACUGACGCUGAGGAGCGAAAGCAUGGGGAGCGAACAGG